UCUUUCCAACUAUUCCUAUGCCCCUCUCUCUCUCUCCACGCCAAGCCACAAGAGGGGGCGGGCCCCUCUUGCAUUAUUCAGGGGAUUGGCGCCCCCUGGUCCUGCCAAAAAGGGAGAUAGGUGCCACCUAUUCUUUCCAACUAUUCUACAGAGUGCUUAGAGAUAAUUAAGAGAUAAUAUAGAGAUAAUGAGAAGAUAAUUUAUGCCAACUCAUUGAUAUAAUCCAAUCCUCUUGGGCUC
rnacentral:lncRNA from 1 species